GAGCAUAUUUGCAUAUGGGCAGACAAGUAGUGGAAAGACAUAUACAAUGAGGGGAUCACCGAUUAUGCAGUAGCGGAUAUAUAUGACUAAAUAAAAAGGCAUCAAGAAAGAGAAUUUUUGGUGAAAUUCUCUGCCAUGGAGAUAUAUAAUGAAGCUGUGAGAGACCUCCUUAGCUCGGAUACUACCCCACUCAGACUCCUAGAUGAUCCAGAGAGGGGAACCGUUGUGGAGAGACUAACUGAGGAAACUAUAAUAGACAAGGAACAUCUUCAGGAGCUCCUUUCAAUCUAUGAAGCACAAAGGCAGAUAGGA